rnacentral:lncRNA from 1 species
AGUUUGCAGAACUUGGGACAGUUCUUGCUUUUGUAGAGUGUGUUAGUUGUGUGUCAGUUGUAUACCUGUUAGUUUUAUACAGAGUUGGUAUGUGAUCAGUUCAGGGUAUGUAUAUAUGUUAAUUUAUGGAUGUAGCAUUUUGGGUUGAAAAGUAUCCAAUGAAGAGUAUUGAGGUAUUUCCUAUUUAUAAGUAUGUGGUUAAUAUCAGGUAGCGUUCGCAGCUAGUGGCAUGUGCGAUCACGUCCCUCUUAAUUAGCGUUAUUAUGUGAUUUAUGGUUAGGGGGUGUGACAACUGGUCUCAGAGCAGUGGUUCAAGCCAAAGUAGAUCACUGAGGGCUAUGUGGUGGAGUUGAUGUCACCACCCCCCCCCCCAGGAUCACAGUGAACCAUAGAGAUGUGUCGGAUUUGAUAGGUUGUUAAAAGCUGGUGUAUAUUAUAAUGGUGCAGUGCUAAAAAAUCUAAAUUGAUGACACGAAGAAAGAAUGGCGAAUGAGGAAUCAUCAGUUUAUGCUAGAGGGGUGGAGCAGGAGGGACAUGAACCCCACCCCUCUCACUGCAAAGCAACAUCAGCCUAAGCCAUAGAUAGAUUGCCACUUUGAUGGCAUAGGAAAUAUAGUUACAGAUGGCACGGCCGGUAUGGAAGUACCACCCUGAAUGAAAAUUAUGAAGUUGAAUCCGGCAGAUUGGUGGGGAAAAGGACAUUUAGUGGCUGAAGAAUGGUUAAAAAAUUAAAUGCAAAUUUAAAGUGAUGGAGCUGACCGACGACAGAAGUUACACUUGGGCCACCUCAGUUAUGUUAAGGGGAGAGGCCAGAAAUUGGUGGAAGCGAUGUAGAAGAUGUAAAUACCCAACCAAAGGAGUGCCAAUUUCAUGGCAAUAAUUUUGUAAAUUUUGCAUGAUCAGUACUCCCUCGCAUCUAUCGCAAAUGCAAAAGAAUAUAGUUUUGUCGUUUGAAGAAAGGGACGAUGUCCAUGAGGCGAAUAUGAAAGAAACGUUUAUAGUCUCUGUCCUCGAUUUGCGCCUGAGAUGGUGCAUGCUGAAGAUAUGAAGUGCAGACGAUUUGAGCAGGGCCUGGACUGGUAGAUCCGGAGUCCGUGUGUCUAUGUUUGAGAAUUAAUAUAUAUUUAGAGUUGGUGAACAAAGCAAAAAUUACGAGCUGGAUAUGAUGGAAUUUCAGAAUAAGGACGAGAUAACAAAGAGGAGAAUUGGAUUCGGGGGCUGGACGUCAUACAAAGGUCUUCAUAAUGCAACAACAACAAGUAUAUCCUUAGGCCACAACUUAUGUGGCUUUCCGAUUUCAAUACCGGUUUUUCCCUUCGUUUCCUCCUUUUUCACUCUCUUGUCCCCCCGCCCUUUCCGUUUUCCGGUUUCCUCUCAUCCCCUUAACAUAAUAUGGCCAAGAUAACUCUUUUUCUAUUCGUCGUCCACCUCCCAUCACUUCAAAUAUUACAUCUAAUUUCUUUACUUUACCAUUUUCACAAGCACUACAGGAUUAGUUGCCCCCACAAAUUCUGGCGGAUUCACUUCAUAAUUGUUCAUAGUAGGGUGGUACUUCUUAAGCCGCUUUUGGCCAUCAAGUUAGAUUUAGCACAUGCAUACAUAAAUAUAACACAAGCCUAACAACCUAUCGCACUCCGACACACCGACACAUCCUAUGGUUCACUGUGAUCCAGACAUCAACUCCACCACAUAGCCUCAAUGAUAUACUUUGGCUUUGAACCACUGCUCGGAUUUACCCCAAAAGUUUUCACCCCCCCAACCUAAAUCAACAUAAUCAAGCUACUAGGCUGUGAUGUGAUCGCACCAGGCCACUAUGCCUGCGAACGACACCUGUUGCACCACAUACUCAAUAAUAAGAAUCCUCAAAUACUCAUUCAUUGAUAAUUUAAAAUCAAAAUGCCACAUCCAUAAAUUAACAUAUAUACAUACCCUGACUGAAACAUACACAACUUUCUGUAUAAAAACAUAAACAGGUAACAAUGACAUAAACUAACACGCUGUACAAAAGCAAGAACUGGUCCCAAGUUCUGCCAACAUCAAUCAAACCACACUAGGAAGCCUCUACCAUCUAGGAUCAUGACCACAGUAAACCAAUAUCUAAUUGUAAUCACUAAUACCUGUCAAAAAGAGUCUGUAUGUGGACUAAUAUCAGCAUGCUCAAAUAGAUAAUCGAACUCAUAAGAAUGAUACAAAUAGCCAUUCAUUAUAGAAAUCAAGCCAUAAAGAAUGUCCUAUGCAAUAAUUCAACCCACAUGGGCGCGCAAGUUUCGAUAGAAUUUUAGAUAGAUGAAACAAUACAAGAAGAGGAGAUUGUAUUUUGGGGGCGAGAUCGUCAAGACAAAGGUCUUCAGAUGUUACAACAACAGAGAAGCGAGUCGAGCCCAGACUGAGUGCCGAGAAGUGCAAAGACUGGUAUUUCUAGAGGUGGGGGAAAUGUUAGGGGAAGAAGGUCGUGAGACCACCACUAGACCUAAUACUGUCACGAUCUUGUACUACAGGA